AUAACCAUCUCAGUCCAAAGUGCAAGACAGACCGCAGUGAAAAGAGAAAGCAACAGCUAAAAGAUGAGUAAAGAAACGAGCAAAAGAUGGAGUGUUUUUGACCCAUCAAAGAAUUCACAAUCCUUAUCCAGAUACAUGAGCUAUGAGUUGGAAUCACAGCAUUGUGACUUCUUUACCCAAGACUCUGAGGCUUACUUUCAAACCAGAGGCCAACAGAUAAGCACUGCUAAAUGUAAGGCAUUUUUAAGUCAUCUUUCCUUCAACAAGCAUUUACUGAGUGACAACUUUUCCAGGCACUGUUUUAAGCACUGGGAUAUAUGACUGAACAAAACAAACCAAGAGCCUUGCCCAUGUGAGUC
rnacentral:lncRNA from 1 species